ACAACUAAGAAGACGACGUCCCUCUCCAAAGACGAGCUCCGGGCGUCCCCAUCUCCCCGCUCAGUGGUGUCUCUGACAAACAAGGGCAUUCACAGGAAAAGACCCUGAGCGGAGUGGGAACCCCGGGGGGUGCCGAUACAAUGAACCUGCAAAAGCCCAGACUGAUAACAGUGGUCCGAAGGAUGGGGAUGUUCUGCCUGAUUGAAGAAGCACAGACAGACUGGAGAGAGGGCAGCUGUGCAUCUGCUGAUAAUCACGGGCAGAGUCACAGUACACCUGCACAUCUCCACCUGAGGGCUGGACUAGGACCACCUGGCAGAUCCCAUUACCCUAGCAGAGGGAAAAGAGCACAGUGCAUGUUUGGAAGACCCAAGGUAGAGACUGAACUGAACGAGGUAAGCUGCAGCCUGGUGGCGAGACGUGCAGUGAGGCCCAGCCGAGCCAGGAAAGGCAAACAUCGGAAAGAAAAAAGAGGCCACCACAGAACACAACAGCCUCUUGCGAAGAUCAUUUGCCAGUUUUCCCAACACCAUUUGUUGAAUCAUCUACCCCUUAUUUACUGAUCUGAAAUGCCAACUUCAUCAUGAAACACAGUCUCAUGUGGUCGUGGAUCCAUCACUGAGCUCCAGGCAGAGCUCCAUCGGAAACGGGAUAUGACUUUCCAGUUGAUACCAUGAAGAAAUAUCAGCUC